CACCUUCCAGGCAUUCUGCUUUGAGCUUCCAGCAGUCUGCGUCUAUCGGUGACUACAUUGUCCUUCCAAGUGCCUGUUUUAUUUUGCAAAUUUCAGACUCAGGACAAAAUUUUAAUCUAAAUGAUUUAUUUCCUUUUCUUAAACAUUUCUAUGUGAUAAAUGCUAAAUAUUUUGCCUAUUGAUUGCUGACAGUUUCAGUAAACAAAUAUAGAAGAAGCCUUAAUUUAUAAAGGCAUAGCUUGUGAUUGUCUGAAACAGUAAUUAUUGUUGUUUAAAUUCCUCUUUCUGUUGGUUUUGAUCUUCACCUAACUCAUAGAAGAGGAUAUUCCAAGUUGUGUGAGCGUGCGUGCGUGUGUUGGGGGUUGGGGGUGGUCUAACAAACUCUCUUUUGAAGCAACUGCAUGUAAUGUGUUCGUGAUAUCUUUUUUUUUUUUUUUGGGUCAAGUUUCCUUUUGAUUUUUCUUUCUGAUAGAUUUUUGGGUUCCUGAAAUCUCUGGUUGUCUCUGGAGGUUUGCCUUUUAUUGGUUCUGGAACCCCUGCAACAUCCCAACAAAACAGUUUUGGUUGAAUAUAUUCAAAGUUUGGGCAUACAUAGGGUAGGAUGGCUGAUGGAAUAUCUAGUUUCUGGGUCCUGUUUCAUCCGCUACUGAGUGCUGCGAGAAGAAUUACACUUAUUCCCUUAUAUUGAAGAAUUUUACAACACAAUAUCCAAUAUACCAUGCAUUCUUUUGGCUCUCGUUGGUCUUAUAAAUGCGUCAAGGCAACAGUUUGAGAAGAAAUUUAGUGUUCUUCACAUAUCUAAUAUGAUACUUGCUUUUGGAAGCAUGUUUUUUCAUGCCACAUUGCAACGUAACUUUCUUAUUGGAUGAUCUUGUACAUUACUGAGUUGUUAUGCAAACUAUUACUUAUUGGUGUUCUGCAAAAAUUAUAACAGCUUGUGUUGUUGGUAGAAUGCAAAUUAGCAUUAGAUAAAGAAAAAUCAGAAGAUAACUCUUUCGUAUUAGAUAUUUUAUGCACUUAUCAACUGAGCAAUACUCUUUUUUAUUCACUUUUUGUUGUCUUGCAUUUUCAUUGAAGCCUUGACAGCAUAGCACGAAUAUCAUUUUUUAGUCUUUUGAGAAAUGAGAAUCUUAUUGUAAACUAGUUGUUGUCAUCAUCAGUUUCUUAUGAUACUAAAAUAUGAACUAGAGACAGCUGCAUUGAAUAUAAUGUCUAACCUUCAGGAUGCAUCCUAUUCUACACCCAGCUUGCUACCAAACUCAAUACACUGGAAAUAUGUUCUUGUGCAUAUGUUUAUAUCAUUUUGACUUGGGGUCAUAAUUGACAUUGCCCUCUUUCUCCUUGGAAAAGAAGAAAAAAGAAACCUAGCUUGCUCUUAUUCUAUGUUAUGCCAGCAAGAAAAGAGGCAACAGCAGAGUGAUGAGACCCCCAUGGUAUGGGAGAUGCUCUUACAUUUACAUCCUCUAUUCACCAGAUUGGUACUAUCGUAGCAAGAUGCCCACUCUCCUAUUCAUGUAUGGUGCUGUUUUUGCUAUUGUUCCAUCCAGUGGUACAUUUUGAAAUAGGCUCCAAGGUGCGCUAUGUGAUCCUCUGCUUCCUUUGCAUCCCCCGAACACACAAGAUGCUUCUGCCAAGCUGCUUGCAAAACUGUAUGUGGCUACCCUUCUUAUUGGUAGUUUGUGUUGGCUUUUUAAUCGUUUUUUCUGCAAGAAGAUAUCAAAUUGGCCCAUCAACCCACUGGGACAUGCUUUCUGGCAUGUCCUAAUGGGUCUUAAUGCCUACUUUGCAAACACUUUCUUGAUGUUUUGUCGUGCACAACAACGAGGAUGGGCACCAAGGUUGUCCAUUUUAGGGGGGAUUCUUCUAUAUGUGAAGAUUGGAAAAUCAAAAACUCAAUCAAAGAAAAUGAAAUGAUGAAGAG
rnacentral:misc_RNA from 1 species